rnacentral:tRNA from 1 species
UGGGGUGUAGCUCAGUGGUGGAGCACUUGGUUACCAUUCACUGGGCCCUGGGUUCAAUCCCCAGCACCCAAA